ACGGUGAACACGGAGCUUGCUCUGUGGGAUCAGUGGCGAACGGGUGAGUAACACGUGAGCAACCUGCCCCUGACUCUGGGAUAAGCGCUGGAAACGGCGUCUAAUACUGGAUAUGUGACGUGAUCGCAUGGUCUGCGUCUGGAAAGAAUUUCGGUUGGGGAUGGGCUCGCGGCCUAUCAGCUUGUUGGUGAGGUAAUGGCUCACCAAGGCGUCGACGGGUAGCCGGCCUGAGAGGGUGACCGGCCACACUGGGACUGAGACACGGCCCAGACUCCUACGGGAGGCAGCAGUGGGGAAUAUUGCACAAUGGGCGCAAGCCUGAUGCAGCAACGCCGCGUGAGGGAUGACGGCCUUCGGGUUGUAAACCUCUUUUAGCAGGGAAGAAGCGAAAGUGACGGUACCUGCAGAAAA
rnacentral:rRNA from 1 species